ACUUUUAUUUUAAGAUAGGAUAUAUCAAUAUGAUGACUGCUUUAUCUUUUAUGACCUGAUUUCUUUUUUCCCUUAGGUCAUGUAGGAAAUCACAAAUCAUGUGAAGAUGGGACUCUUGGUAUUUGUGCGUAAUCUGCUGCUAGCCCUCUGCCUCUUUCUGGUACUGGGAUUUCUGUAUUAUUCUGCGUGGAAGCUACACUUGCUCCAGUGGGAGGACUCCAGCCUGCUGAGUUAGCCACCAAGUAUGCAAACUUUUCAGAAGGAGCUUGUAAGCCCGGCUAUGCUUCAGCCUUGAUGACCGCCAUCUUCCCCCGGUUCUCCAAGCCAGCACCCAUGUUCCUGGAUGACUCCUUCCGCAAGUGGGCUAGGAUCCGGGAGUUUGUGCCACCUUUUGGUAUCAAAGGUCAAGAUAAUCUGAUCAAAGCCAUCUUGUCUGUCACCAAAGAGUACCGCCUGACCCCUGCCUUGGACAGCCUCAGCUGCCGCCGCUGCAUCAUCGUGGGCAAUGGAGGUGUCCUUGCCAACAAGUCUCUGGGAUCACGUAUUGAUGACUAUGACAUCGUGGUCAGACUGAACUCAGCACCAGUGAAAGGCUUUGAGAAGGACGUGGGCAGCAAAACAACCCUGCGCAUCACCUACCCGGAGGGCGCCAUGCAGCGGCCUGAGCAAUAUGAACGUGAUUCUCUCUUUGUCCUCGCUGGCUUCAAGUGGCAGGACUUCAAGUGGUUGAAGUACAUCGUCUACAAGGAGAGAGUGAGUGCAUCAGACGGCUUCUGGAAAUCUGUGGCCACUCGAGUGCCCAAGGAGCCCCCUGAGAUUCGCAUCCUCAACCCCUAUUUCAUCCAGGAGGCAGCCUUCACCCUCAUUGGACUGCCCUUCAACAACGGCCUUAUGGGCCGGGGGAACAUCCCGACACUUGGCAGUGUGGCAGUGACCAUGGCACUACAUGGCUGUGAUGAAGUGGCAGUCGCAGGCUUUGGCUACGACAUGAGCACGCCCAAUGCACCCCUACACUACUAUGAGACCGUGCGCAUGGCAGCCAUCAAAGAGUCCUGGACACACAAUAUUCAGCGAGAGAAAGAGUUUCUGCGGAAGCUGGUGAAAGCACGUGUCAUCACUGACCUAACCAGUGGCAUCUGAGGUGGGCCCAGCACAUGGCCAGAGAGGCCCAGGCACCACCAGGAACAAGCAGCAGCCACCACCACCUGCACAGGAGCCUUCAGACCCAGAGAAGGACAGUGCCAAGUGGCCCCAGGGAUGGCGUGGCCUUGGCAGGGCAGCUGGAGUAGCUGCUCGAGGCCAGCCUCAGAGACCAGCACUCAGCCUCACUUUCAGCCUGGCUCCUUGAAGCCAGAGGGCCAGGAAGCACCUGGCUGUGCCCAGCAGGCCCAGCAUGCAGGAGGUGGGACACGAGGCAGCAAGGCUGCUGCCAGAAUCAUUUCUCCAAUCAGUGUUUGGUGUAUUAUCAUCUUGUGCAUUUGGGUAGGGGGAGGGUAGGGAUAAUUUAUUUUUAAAUAAGGUCAGAGAUGUCUAAUUUGGUCCACCUGCCAUGCAGCAAGAGGCCCACUAGAGGGCCCAUCAGGCAGUGGUACUGAUCAAUGGGCUCCCUGUAGGGUGGGAGUGCCAUGAUUGGCCAGUACCCUUCUUUAGCACUACAGGGAGGUGGACAAGAUCUCAUGCCAGCCCCCUCCAACUCUUGAUGCUAUUUGGCCUUUUUUGGGGAAAAGAUGGGGUAUUCCCACUCACCAACCCCUAUAUGCUCCACAGGGAAAUCUUGGAGUCACCCCUUCUGAGCCAUCAACAAGACAGCCCCUGGACUAGAGCAAAGAGAACUUUAGAGCUCAGGAGGGGAGGCCUGACCCAGCCCGGUGGGAAGGGCCCCUCUCCCUAGCUGCAGCUGAUCCAUGGGAUGGUGCCCAGGUCUGGACUGACCAACUUGUCAGCCGCUCUGGGUUUCAGCAAUGAGACUGCCAGGCCCUUGGGUUCUGCCUUUAGCCUGGACCAGAGGGAAGUGAGGCCCAAGAACUUUACCCAGGCUGUGGCAGCCAUUCUAGGCAGCCAUCAUGGAAGCAAUAAAGCUCUUCCCUGAUCCU